rnacentral:lncRNA from 1 species
CAGGAACGUGGGUUACUUGGGCUUCCAGUUGAUGUAGACUGUAGACUCUUCCUUGAUUCACAUACUCUCAGUUGUGCUGUCUUAACUUAAAACAAAAGCAAAAAACGGUUCCGGAGAAGUUAGAGAAUUGUGACGCCAAAAUUGAUUACCUGUGUAGUUCUAGUAGGCGACCCUACCGUAUAGGAUGAGAUAUUCAUACUUUGCUUUGCAUUUGCAGCUUAUGAGGAUGCUGGCAAAGUGCUGCCUCUUUUAAAAAGUUGAAUCCAGACUGUUAGACAUCAGCAAGAUCACUCUGGUAUUGGAAUCUAACCAAGCACAAAACAUCCUCAGCCUUCCCGGCAAAGCACAGAUGGCUGCAGAUGCUGGUGCUGUGGCUAGCCAGCUUUUUCAGAGGAAAGGCCAGUUUGUCGUGCAAGCCACACUCCUCAGAUAAAACCCUACUCCCCAACAAGAAGCUGUGAAAAAGCCCAGGUGGUGAAGAGCUCAAGCAGAUGAGCUCCCAUGACUCCCAAGUUUCACAGUUGGAUUCUCAAGCCCAUACACACAAAACUCUGGUUCUCCCAGACAUCCCCACCACCCUUGAUGGCAAAGAGUCCAACUCCGUUUGGGAGAAAAAAGAAACUGAAGAUUAAAGGGUUUGACACAAUUACACAGUUUUAGGGGCCUUGUACACCGAUCUGUAGAAAGCAGCAUACAUUUCCAAAAGUACAUACAUAGAUCAUACAACAACUAUAGACUAAACCACGUUCAACCAUGUAUGUCUGUUUUAAAAAAAAUUCUAGGGUUACAAUUCCACAGGAAAAAAAUCCUCUACCAUCUGUACUGGAGUACUGCUCAAAUGACUAUGGCAUAAACAAAGCCAGCCAAAACAAGAAUCCUGGGAGUGACUCAUAGAUUUAAAGGUCAGAAGGGAACAUCAUGAUCAUCUAGUCUGAAUUCCCGCACAUCACAGGCCACAGAACCUCACCCACCCACUCCUGUAAUAGACCCCUCACCUCUGGCUGAGUUACUGAACUCCUCAAAUCAUGGUUUAAAGACUUCAAGUUACAGGGAAUUCACCAUUUACACAAGUUUAAACCUGCAAGUGACCCAUGCCCCAUGCUGCAGAGGAAGGUGAAAAAAACCCAGGGACAAUGAGAGGCGGUAAGAUCCUCUUCUGGGAGCAUAUGAUAGUAAUGCCAUUCUGGAAGAAGCUCAGAGAAAGCGGUCACUUCUGAUUACUAUGUAAU